rnacentral:rRNA from 1 species
GCUUAGGAAUCUGCCUAUUAGUGGGGGACAACAUUCCGAAAGGAAUGCUAAUACCGCAUACGUCCUACGGGAGAAAGCAGGGGACCUUCGGGCCUUGCGCUAAUAGAUGAGCCUAAGUCGGAUUAGCUAGUUGGUGGGGUAAAGGCCUACCAAGGCGACGAUCUGUAGCGGGUCUGAGAGGAUGAUCCGCCACACUGGGACUGAGACACGGCCCAGACUCCUACGGGAGGCAGCAGUGGGGAAUAUUGGACAAUGGGGGGAACCCUGAUCCAGCCAUGCCGCGUGUGUGAAGAAGGCCUUUUGGUUGUAAAGCACUUUAAGCGAGGAGGAGGCUACUAGUAUUAAUACUACUGGAUAGUGGACGUUACUCGCAGAAUAAGCACCGGCUAACUCUGUGCCAGCAGCCGCGGUAAUACAGAGGGUGCGAGCGUUAAUCGGAUUUACUGGGCGUAAAGCGUGCGUAGGCGGCUGAUUAAGUCGGAUGUGAAAUCCCUGAGCUUAACUUAGGAAUUGCAUUCGAUACUGGUCAGCUAGAGUAUGGGGAGAGGAUGGUAGAAUUCCACGUGUAGCGGUGAAAUGCGUAGAGAUCUGGAGGAAUACCGAUGGCGAAGGCGGCCAUCUGGCCUGAUACUGACGCUGAUGUACGAAAGCAUGGGGAGCAAACAGGAUUAGAUACCCUGGUAGUCCAUGCCGUAAACGAUGUCUACUACCCGUUGGGGGCGUUUGAGGCUGUAGUGGCGCAGCUAACGCAAUAAGUAACCGACUGGGGAGGACGGUCGCUAGACUAAAAACUCAAAUGAGAUUGACAGUGCCCGCACCACGGCUGCAGCAUGUGGUUUGAUUGCUAUGCUACGCGAAAACGUAACCUGCUCUUGUGUAUAGCAACUUUCGGACAUGAAUGGUGGCGGUUCGUUGACUAG